rnacentral:rRNA from 1 species
AGUGAACGCUGGCGGUAGGCCUAACACAUGCAAGUCGAACGGCAGCACAGUAAGAGCUUGCUCUUACGGGUGGCGAGUGGCGGACGGGUGAGGAAUACAUCGGAAUCUACUUUUUCGUGGGGGAUAACGUAGGGAAACUGACGCUAAUACCGCAUACGACCUACGGGUGAAAGCAGGGGAUCUUCGGACCUUGCGUGAUUGAAUGAGCCGAUGCCGGAUUAGCUAGUUGGCGGGGUAAAGGCCCACCAAGGCGACGAUCCGUAGCUGGUCUGAGAGGAUGAUCAGCCACACUGGAACUGAGACACGGUCCAGACUCCUACGGGAGGCAGCAGUGGGGAAUAUUGGACAAUGGGCGCAAGCCUGAUCCAGCCAUACCGCGUGGGUGAAGAAGGCCUUCGGGUUGUAAAGCCCUUUUGUUGGGAAAGAAAAGCAGCAGGUUAAUACCCCGCUGUUCUGACGGUACCCAAAGAAUAAGCACCGGCUAACUUCGUG